UACCCUUUCUGUUCCACGAAAUGGUGACAAGCUGGUCUUCAGUAAUUUAGAUCUGUGUUUUUAGACAGCGUCCAUUUAGUAGUAAAGGCUUGUUGACACAGGACACAAUUUGAAAGAUUGGCAGUUUAAUGCAGGAUAACCAGUGUUGGGCACGAUACUUUGAAAAAGUAAUUAAUGAGUUACUAACUGAGUUACUCCACUAUAAAAGUAACUAGUUACCACCCCCCCCCCACCCCACACACACACACUUUUUUAUUUAUUCAAAUCACAGCAACAGGUGUAGUCAUCGUAGGUUUAAGAUUUUUUUUUAUCAACCUUAUUGUGAUCUAUAGUUCUAUAAAUUCGUUUUCACCGUCUCCUCCAUGGUUUAAAGGCAGCUGUUCUGUAUGUGAGAGGCUCGUAUCACACACAGCGAAACUUUUUUGCUGGAGGGCGGGGCUGCACUCAUGCAGCAGCUCUCUCUAUUGAAGUGAAUAGAAUGCGCUGUGCUGGUGGACGGGGAGAGGGAGCGUCUCUCAAAAUAUCGCUCUGCGGGCCGCGAGUUUGAGAUCCCUGGUUUAAAGAGCUCAUUACAGAAUACUGUCUUCCUUUGAGGAAUCCUCCCCUCCCUUGUGACUCACACACACACAUGCGCCUUUGUCUGUAUGCGCGAAGUUAAAAAAAAAAAGUUAAUUAAGCGGCUAAAGUAACGUGCAGUAACGGGGUGUCGAAAAUAGUAACAGCAUUAUAGUUACAGUCAGAGUAAUUAGUUAAAUUACUCGUUACUGAAAAAAGUAACGGCGUUAGUAACUCCCAUCACUGAGGAUAACCAUGAUGCCUACAAUCAGGCUAGCUAGCAGCUGGGAUAUGCAGGAGUGGCACAGGAUAAUGAUAAUGGGACCAGCCAGGCUUUGUGUAAAUGAAACAGGAUAGCCACUGCAGAACAGCAGUCAUGUAAAGAAACUAUGAAAUCAUUUUAUUUUUUGGCAAAUUCUGUUUAAUUGUUUUUAUAGUGCUGUCAGGUGAUUAAAAACUGUAAUUUAAUUGAUUAUAUGCUCUGUGAUUAAUUUGUCUAAAUGAAUCACAUUUAAUUACAUUCACCGUUCAAGUAUUUUAAAGGUCUGUUUCCACUAAAAUCCACUUUUUUUUUUCUUUGUGAAAUACUAUAGGUCUCAGUGAGUUGUAUAUGCAUGCUGCACAUGAAACUGUUUCUCAGCAUUCAUUGUCUGCAGUAGCUAGUAAAAGAAAAUCCUCAGAAAUGCAAAUAGAUAUAAUGUGUCGAUGUCAACCAGUUCAUAGCAUCGCCCAACUGCUCAAGCAUCAAAUCUCCAAGUCUGAGGUAAGAGUUUAGCGGGAGCUGAGUCAGCGCUUUAGAGUCAGCCAAGCACUAAAAACCCAAGAAAACAGCAAAACAACAAUAAUCAAGCUUUUAAACUGCCUUUUAAAAGUGUCAAUUCCACUAUAACUGAAAAUAUCUGCGCAAAGCUGUGUGGAACAGAGGUGCACAGCUUUGAACAGGCUGUCUGCCACUGCUAAAAAGCAUGUGUGCUUGUGCAGGUGGAGGCCCUCCCCUCGAUCCCCCUCCCUUCGCACUUCUCAGACAGCAGCAGACAGAGAAAGCGCUGCUCACUCAGAACACUGACUAUCUACUUCUUGUGUCAAGAAUCAAAUCAUUGCAACAUAACGUGUUUGAUUUAAUUGUCUUAAGUGACAUCGCACAUCCUGCGAUGUGACAAUCGUGCAUGCGCACAUCUCAAUGACUAUACUUAAAUGAUAUAUCGUGCAGUCAGUGUCAGAUGGUGUAAAUGCUGUAGAUCUCUCAACCAUUUCUUUAAAAUAUUUUAAUUUUCUUUUCUGUCUGUUUCCUGAUGCAUUAAUAAAGUGAGACUGAUGUAACAAACAGUUAUAAUACACAUCAUAUCAAACAGCAGAACUUAACCUAUCUAACCAGCACAUUAACAUUAUAUUGAUUCUGAUAUCAACAGAAUUAGUUAAGAAAAAAUUAGCAUCACCAGUUAGCCGUUAGCCAUCUCCAUUGACAUAAACAGUCUGUUAGCCUAGCUAGCAUUGGGAGCUGCAUCACAGUGUUGUAAGGGUAAUAACGAAGGACUCUAAACUAUGUCCAUAAUCCACAUAUCAUAGCAAACCACAGAACCUUUUAAUCUAACCAGCACAAACCUGUGAUUAAUAAACAGCCAUUCAUUUACCUUUGAAAUACCAUUAGCAUCGCUGUUAGCCGUUGUGUCUGAUCUGGUAAUCUGCUGACAAGUCCUCAGCCCAUUUUAUAUGCUUAUAUUUGUAUACCAAGAACUAUAUUUAGUCUGGAUUUUUCUAAUACGUAAACUUUUGAUAUAAGUAUUUUGAAAUAUCUAUUGUUUUUAAACUUUAAAAUCUUUUAUUUUAGAGUUUUAGGUAGGGGUGAAAUAUUUUAUUAUUACAGAGCAACAUAUUUCAGCUAUUGAUGUAAAAAUUAGCUGAGUGUGUAGUUACUCUUUAAGAUGUAUUUUUGAGUAGGCUAUGAUCAUCUGAAAAUAUCCUCUAACAUGUGACCAUCUCCUACAAAUUCUUUGUCAUUUAGGUAAAUAAAAUGCUUAAACUAUAUGAGAGAUACAGUAUUUAUAGCAUCUUUUACUGAAUGAUGUUCACUACAUGAUUCUGCUAUCAGUUCACGUGAUUUAAGCAGAGCAGCAGAAUACUAUAGGUUUUCAUAGCCUGGCAGUGUCAGUGCAUGAUGACGUACAUGACAGGCAUUGGCUUUAUACUAUUCAUAUCGGUAUUGAAAAUAUAUUGUAUCUACCUGAAUAAAGAAAUAUAUUGUGAUAUAAAUUAAGGCCAUAUCAUCUGGCACUAUCCUGUAGUGAGAAGGAAAAACUACUUGACCAUCCCAGGCGCAUGUGACUGCAAUGGAGGAUAGUCCAUAAACCAUCGAGCCACGAGAUGUUCAGUUAAAAGCCCUUAAAAUCACUUUUAUACGAUUUAUCUUGAGAUGUUUUCAAGUUUUUUCAGUAGGUUACCUUUCUUGUAGAAUUGUGCUUUAACUUUUUGUGAAACAGUUUCUUAAUUGUUUAGAAGUCAAUAUUGCCUAUAUGGACAGCAAUUUGAAAUAAAAAACUUAACCUGUAAAAUUGCGAUGUUAAAUGCAACACGGUCAAAAAUUAUUUCAUUAAUUUAGUUUCCUGACAUGGAAGCAGAUGAAUGGCUCUGUGCGGGUUAGAUUAGUAUGUUCUGGGGUUUGAUAACAGAUGGACGGUGCUGUGUUGGUUAGAUUAGUAGGUUCUGGGGCCCGAAAACAGAUGGGUGGCUCUGUGCUGGUUAGAUUAGUAGGUUCUGGGGUUUGAUAACAGAUGGGUGGCUCUGUGCUGGUUAGAUUAGUAGGUUCUGGGGUUUAAUAACAGAUGGAUGAUGAUGGGCUGGUUAGAUUAGUAGGUUUUGUGGUUUGAUAACAGAUGGAUGGCGCUGUGCUGGUUAGAUUAGUAGGUUUUGUGGUUUGAUAACAGAUGGAUGGCUCUGUGCUGGUUAGAUUAGUAGGUUCUGGGGUUUGAUAACAGAUGGAUGGCGCUGUGCUGGUUAGAUUAGUAGGUUCUGGGGUUUGAUAACAGAUGGGUGGCUCUGUGCUGGUUAGAUUAGUAGGUUCUGGGGUUUGAUAACUGACGGAUGGCUCUGUGCUGGUUAGAUUAGUAGAUUCUGGGGUUUGAUAACAGAAUGAUGGUGCUGUGCUGGUUAGAUUAGUGUGUUCUGGGGUUUGAUAACAGAUGGAUAGCUCUGUGCUGGUUAAAUUACUAAGUUCUGGUGUUUGAUAACAGAAGGGUGGUGCUGUGCUGGUUAGAUUAUUAGAUUCUGGGGUUUAAUAACUGAUGAAUGGCUCUGUGCUGGUUAGAUUAGUGUGUUCUUGGGUUUAAUAACAGAUAAAUUAUGGUUUGCUGGUUAGAUUAGUAGGUUCGGGGGUUUGGUAACAGAUGGAUGGCGCUGUACUGGUUAGAUUAGUAGGUUCUGGGGUUUGAUAACAGAUGGAUGGUGCUGUGCUGGUUAGAUUAGUGUGUUCUUGGGUUUAAUAACAGAUAAAUUAUGAUUUGCUGGUUAGAUUAGUAGAUUCUGGGGUUUGGUAACAAAAGGAUGGCACUGUGCUGGUUAGAUAAGUAGGUUCUGGGGUUUGGUAACAGAUGGAUGGUGCUGUGCUGGUUAGAUUAGUAGGUUCUGGGGUUUAAUAACAGAUGGAUGGUGCUGUGCUGGUUAGAUUAUUAGAUUAUGGGGUUUAAUAACUGAUGGAUGGCUCUGUGCUGGUUAGAUUAGUAGAUUCUGGGAUGUGAUAACUGAUGGAUAUAGUUGUGCUGGUUGGAUUAGUGUGUUCUUGGGUUUAAUAACAGAUAAAUUAUGGUUUGCUGGUUAGAUUAGUAGGUUCGGGGGUUUGGUAACAGAUGGAUGGCGCUGUACUGGUUAGAUUAGUAGGUUCUGGGGUUUGAUAACAGAUGGAUGGUGCUGUGCUGGUUAGAUUAGUAGGUUCUAGGGUUUGGUAACAGAUGGAUGGCGCUGUGCUGGUUAGAUUAGUAGGUUCUAGGGUUUGGUAACAGAUGGAUGGCGCUGUGCUGGUUAGAUUAGUAGGUUCUAGGGUUUGGUAACAGAUGGAUGGCGCUGUGCUGGUUAGAUUAGUAGGUUCUAGGGUUUGGUAACAGAUGGAUGGCGCUGUGCUGGUUAGAUUAGUAGGUUUUGUGGUUUGAUAACAGAUGGAUGGCGCUGUGCUGGUUAGAUUAGUAGGUUCUAGGGUUUGGUAACAGAUGGAUGGCGCUGUGCUGGUUAGAUUAGUAGGUUCUAGAGUUUGGUAACAGAUGGAUGGCGCUGUGCUGGUUAGAUUAGUAGGUUCUAGGGUUUGGUAACAGAUGGAUGGCGCUGUGCUGGUUAGAUUAGUAGGUUCUAGGGUUUGGUAACAGAUGGAUGGCGCUGUGCUGGUUAGAUUAGUAGGUUCUAGGGUUUGGUAACAGAUGGAUGGCGCUGUGCUGGUUAGAUUAGUAGGUUCUAGAGUUUGGUAUCAGAUGGAUGGCGCUGUGCUGGUUAGAUUAGUAGGUUCUAGGGUUUGGUAACAGAUGGAUGGCGCUGUGCUGGUUAGAUUAGUAGGUUUUGUGGUUUGAUAACAGAUGGAUGGCGCUGUGCUGGUUAGAUUAGUAGGUUCUAGGGUUUGGUAACAGAUGGAUGGCGCUGUGCUGGUUAGAUUAGUAGGUUCUAGAGUUUGGUAUCAGAUGGAUGGCGCUGUGCUGGUUAGAUUAGUAGGUUCUAUGGUUUGGUAACAGAUGGAUGGCGCUGUGCUGGUUAGAUUAGUAGGUUCUGGGGUUGUGGGUUUUUUUGUGAACAAUUGUUUUUAUUGUUUUUCUUUCUUUUUUUUUUAACAACCACCCACAUUUCCCUCUCCCCUUCCUGACAGCCCCACCCAGGCGUAUCAAUAUACUUUCUGACAUAUCCAAAAAUAAAUAAAUAAAUAAUAAUAAUAAAAUAAAAUAAAUGUAUAACAACUCCAGCAAUCAGUCAUAACAGUCCACUUUUGAAAGUUCACUUUAGUACAAGAAGCAGCUUCACCUUUUCAAAGGCGUCCUGCCACCUUCUCAAUGUCCUGGCUUUGGCACCAUGUAUCCAGGCUGUUGAUAGCUCCAUAGAUAUAAUGUCCAGUAAAGUUUGAGUCCAAAUAUUUCUGCACAACUUAAAAGUGGAAUCCCAGCGUUUUGUCAAAAGAAGUUUUGCAGCUGUAAAAGCUGCCAACAGCAAAUUCCUCUGCCAUGAUGACAGAUUAAGAUUAGAGAAGUUGUUUAGAAAGAAUAAAUCUGGAGUUAAAAGUAGUUCUUCCUCAAUAAGAGUGGAUAUAUCCGAUGUCAAUUGACUCCAGAACAUUGAUAACGUAGGACAGGACCAGAAAUAAUGCAUAAAAGUUCCUAAUUCCCCUAGGCAACACGCAUCACAUAAGGGAGAAUUUGUCAGUUGCAUGUGGUAUCGCUUCAAUGGAGUUAAAUAUAUGGUUCUGGGAUUUGAUAACAGAUGGAUGGUGCUGUGCUGGUUAGAUUAGUGUGUUCUUGCGUUUGAUAACAGAUAAAUUAUGGUUUGCUGGUUAGAUUAGUAGGUUCUGGGGUUUAAUAGAUGGAUGGUGAUGUGCUGGUUAGAUUAUUGGGUUCUGGGGUUUAAUAACUGAUGGAUGUAGUUGUGCUGGUUAGGUUAGUGUGUUCUGGGGUUUGAGAACAGAUGAAUGGUGCUGUGCUUGUUGGAUUAGUAGGUUCUGGGCUUUAUAACAGAUGGAUUAUGGUUUUCUGGUUAGAUUAGUUGGUUCUGGAGUUUAAUAACAGAUGGAUGGUGAUGUGCUGGUUAGAUUAGUAGCUUCUGGGGUUUGAUAACAGAUGUACGAUGUAGUGCUGGUUACAUUAGUAGCUUCUGGGGUUUGAUGGAUAUGUUCUUUUGGUUGAUAUAAGCACUGCACUGAGUAUUGUCUUCUUUCUGAAGACAUUUUUUUGUUACAACUACUCAAACUUAGUUAUAUUUUUGUCU